rnacentral:rRNA from 1 species
CCUACGGGCGGCAGCAGUGGGGAAUAUUGCACAAUGGGGGAAACCCUGAUGCAGCGACGCCGCGUGAGUGAAGAAGUAUUUCGGUACGUAAAGCUCUAUCAGCCGGGAAGAAAAUGACGGUACCUGACUAAGAAGCCCCGGCUAACUACGUGCCAGAAGCCGCGGUAUUACGUAGGGGGCAAGCGUUAUCCGGAUUUACUGGGUGUAAAGGGAGCGUAGACGGCAGCGCAAGUCGGGAGUGAAAUCCCAUGGCUUAACCAUGGAACUGCUUUGGAAACUGUGCAGCUAGAGUGCAGGAGAGGUAAGCGGAAUUCCUAGUGUAGCGGUGAAAUGCGUAGAUAUUAGGAGGAACACCAGUGGCGAAGGCGGCUUACUGGACUGUAACUGACGUUGAGGCUCGAAAGCGUGGGGAGCAAACAGGAUUAGAUACCCUUGUAGUC